UCAUAAACUCACUUUUUACGGUUACAAUCGGUAAUCUGAAUGCGUUACCCACCUAAUUUCUCCAUUGAUUAAUCUUCCGUUACGCCUUUUUUUCCUCCAACACUCAAUUUAUUAACACCCCCCUUCAGGUUUCACCGCUUAUCUUCACUCCACCAGGUGAAUCCUAUUGCAUAGCUUUACCUGAUUCACUGUUAAAACCUGGCUUAUAUUUUCUUUCACCAAAUUUCAAUUUUGAUGAUUGCUUAAAUCGGGUUCCUCAGGUUUUGGGCGAAAGAAGUAUGUCAAUUCUCCUAAUUUAGCGUUUUGUGCUAUGGGAGUUUUGAAUGCUUUUACGUACGAUGAGAUUUUGAAUACUCAAUGUCAGCUUCUUAGUUUAUGGAAGAAAAUAAUGCAGGAAAUGUGUGCUGCUCUUUAUGGCUUUGUUAGCACCUAAAACAAAGGUGCUUAUAAUGGGUUUCAGAUUCAAUGCAGUCCCUCCGAAAGUAUUCCAAAGUAAAGAUCACUAUAAGACCUUGAACCAGAUUCCUCAAAUAGAUUAUAAGGGUAGGCAUGGACCACUCGAGUCAGGAUAACCAUCCAGGAUAUGUUGUGGAUGGGUGAUAGUGUGAGUUUUUAUAAUUGGCGAAAUGAUAUAUAUUUUUGUUUGAGUGUUCAGUUUUGGCCUUUUUUGGGAUAUUGUCACACGAUCUGCUUGAGGGAUCUAUUUCUUGCAUGAUGCAGAAUCAAAAGUUACAUACGGUGACAACAAAACUUCUAACAGAGAAAUCUCAAGUUCCACAACAACUAGCUUUCAUUCAUUAUUUUACCUUUUUUUUCUUUUGUGUGUGUGUGAAUAUAUUUUUGUUAUUGAAAUUGUGGAUCUUUGAGAAUUGAAAGGAUCAUGUGUUGGGAUUUCCCGACUUUUGACUUUCUAAACAAGAUUUUGUGGACUAUGAUAAUCUUACAACCAAAGAUAUAAUGGAGGUCUUAUGGAUUAUGUGUUCCAUUUCAUCAUUAAGAAUAAUGAAAUCGAUACCGAUGAAGAUUACCCGUAUAAGGCCAAGGAAGCAAGUUGGAUGGUGUAGUUAUGAAUUUUUAUGGAGUUUUGUUCAUUUGAAGGUUGGUCAUAAAAGUCAGGUAUUCCAAUUUUAAAUUUCUUGCACUUCUUUUUCCAUUAGACCUUUCGAUUAUUAGAUCUACAAAUUUAAUGAAUCAAAAGUUAAUAUCGCAAAUGAAAUAGUCAGAUCAAGUGAAAGUUGGUGAAUUAGCGAAUUUUUAAACUUUAAAUGGCUUAUUUCUGUGGGUUUUGUUUUCUAGGUUGUUUUCCUCUAAUGUUUGCAGUAGCUACCUUCAAUUGAUAAAAGAUAAGUGGUGU